GAAAAUCUUUAUAACUGAAGAAAAACAAAAGAUUUUGGAUUUAAAUCAUCUCGGCAAUGUAAGUACCAAUCACUAAUGAAAAACAUUCAAUUUUACUUUUAUUAUGUAAUUCAAAACGUGGGAGGUUUAUGUCAGUUAAAUAAUAAAUAUAGGCUUUCACAUGUAAAUUCCCUUUAUGAUCGAUAAUAGAGUAUUAAUUUUCUGAAUCACACCGGCUCGACUAGGAUUUGCAGCACAGAGCAUGAUCGUACAUGAUAUAUAUUGUCCAACCUCAAUUGACUGUAAAGUCCGACAUGGUAUAUUCCUUUGGUAUAAUUGUCCUUUACAUUAAUGAGCAUAUAUACAUGUCGAUCUGUUGUAUUAAUUUUGAAUUUAGUUAAACCCAGAGUGGGACAAUGUUCGUCAAGAAAUUCUCGACAAUCAUUUCAAGUUGGUCAGUAAUUAUACGGGAUUGUUUCGACAUUUGAAUAGUUUGAGAGGUAAGAGAAUUAUUAUCGGACCAUUUAUAGACCAGGAGGCGGAGCGAGGGGGAUUCGGCGAAAUAUUACCCGAAGUGAUGAUAUUUGCCCCGGUGAAGAAAUAUCA